rnacentral:ncRNA from 1 species
CAGCGUCGUGUCGCGGUCCGGGACUGUCCUCAGUCCCGGGUCGUCUCGGCGCGGUUCCGAGCGGUCGCUCCCUCGCGAGGUGCCGCGGGUCAGCGGCUGACGCCAGCCACCUUCCCGACCCGUCUUGAAACACGGACCAAGGAGUCUAACAUGUGCGCGAGCCGCGGGGCAGUACGAAACCCGUAAGGCGAAAUGAAGGUGAACGCCGGCGCGGUCCGGCGGAGGUUGGAUCCCGUCCCGUCGGGGCGGGCGCACUACCGGCCGAUCUUCUCCGCCCUGUCGGCGAGGUCGAGCGAGAGCGUGCAAGUCGGGACCCGAAAGAUGGUGAACUAUGCCUGAGGAGGUUGAAGCCAGAGGAAACUCUGGUGGAGGACCGUAGCGAUUCUGACGUGCAAAUCGAUCGUCAAAUUUGGGUAUAGGGGCGAAAGACUAAUCGAACCGUCUAGUAGCUGGUUCCCUUCGAAGUUUCCCUCAGGAUAGCUGGCGCUCUGUCGCAGUUUUAUCUGGUAAAGCGAAUGAUUAGAGGUCUUGGGGGCGAAACGCCCUCAACCUAUUCUCAAACUUUAAAUUGGUAAGAAGCCUGACUCGCUCGUUUGGAGCCGGGCAUGGAAUGCGAGUGCCAAGUGGGCCACUCUUGGUAAGCAGGACUGGCGAUGCGGGAUGAACCGAACGCCGGGUUAAGGCGCCCGACGCGACGCUCAUCAGAGCCCACAAAAGGUGUUGGUUGAUAUAGACAGCAGGACGGUGGCCAUGGAAGUCGGAAACCGCUAAGGAGUGUGUAACAACUCACCUGCCGAAUCAAUCAGCCCUGAAAAUGGAUGGCGCUGGAGCGUCGGGCCUAUACCCGGCCGUCGCGGCGGUACGAGCAUCGAGUUGGUGCGCUAGGCCGCGACGAGUAGGAGGGCCGCGGCGGCGGGCGUAGAAGCCUAGGGCGCGAGCCCGGGUGGAGCAGCCGUCGGUGCAGAUCUUGG